UUGACGAAAUGGCAAAACCGUUGUAAAGCGGUGACGCAAAGCCAUAGGGUCCUCAGCAAGAGGAUAGCCUGGUUACCGAA
rnacentral:ncRNA from 1 species